rnacentral:rRNA from 1 species
AUUGAACGCUGGCGGCAUGCCUUACACAUGCAAGUCGAACGGCAGCGCGGGAGCAAUCCUGGCGGCGAGUGGCGAACGGGUGAGUAAUAUAUCGGAACGUGCCCAGUAGUGGGGGAUAGCCCGGCGAAAGCCGGAUUAAUACCGCAUACGACCUACGGGUGAAAGGGGGGGAUCGCAAGACCUCUCGCUAUUGGAGCGGCCGAUAUCAGAUUAGGUAGUUGGUGGGGUAAAGGCCUACCAAGCCUGCGAUCUGUAGUUGGUCUGAGAGGACGACCAGCCACACUGGGACUGAGACACGGCCCUGACUCCUACGGGAGGCAGCAGUGGGGAAUUUUGGACAAUGGGCGCAAGCCUGAUCCAGCAAUGCCGCGUGCAGGAAGAAGGCCUUCGGGUUGUAAACUGCUUUUGUCAGGGAAGAAAUCCUCUGGGUUAAUACCUCGGGGGGAUGACGGUACCUGAAGAAUAAGCACCGGCUAACUACGUGCCAGCAGCCGCGGUAAUAC